UAAUACAGAGGGUGCAAGCGUUGUUCGGAAUUACUGGGCGUAAAGCGCGUGUAGGCGGCGUCGUUAGUCGGAUGUGAAAGCCCUCGGCUCAACCGAGGAAGUGCAUCCGAUACUGCGAUGCUUGAGUGUUGGAGGGGGUGGCGGAAUUCCCGGUGUAGAGGUGAAAUUCGUAGAUAUCGGGAGGAACACCUGUGGCGAAGGCGGCCACCUGGACAACAACUGACGCUGAGACGCGAAAGCGUGGGUAGCAAACAGG
rnacentral:rRNA from 1 species